rnacentral:rRNA from 1 species
GACGAACGCUGGCGGCGUGCCUAAUACAUGCAAGUCGAGCGGAACUGGGGGAGCUUGCUCCUUCCAGUUUAGCGGCGGACGGGUGAGUAACACGUGGGCAACCUGCCCUGCAGAUCGGGAUAACUCCGGGAAACCGGUGCUAAUACCGAAUAGUUUGGCGCCUCUCCUGAGGCGCUACGGAAAGACGGUUUCGGCUGGCACUGCAGGAUGGGCCCGCGGCGCAUUAGCUAGUUGGUGGGGUAACGGCCCACCAAGGCGACGAUGCGUAGCCGACCUGAGAGGGUGACCGGCCACACUGGGGCUGAGACACGGCCCAGACUCCUACGGGAGGCAGCAGUAGGGAAUCUUCCGCAACGGACGCAAGUCUGACGGAGCAACGCCGCGUGAGUGACGAAGGUUUUCGGAUCGUAAAACUCUGUUGUGAGGGAAGAACACGUACCAACUAACUAUUGGUACCUUGACGGUACCUCACCAGAAAGCCACGGCUAACUACGUGCCAGCCGCCGCCGUAA